GUGCCAGCAGCCGCGGUAAAACGUAGGAUGCGAGCGUUAUCCGGAGUUACUGGGCGUAAAGCGCGGGCAGGCGGCGUCGCACGUUGGACGUGAAAGCGCCCGGCUCAACCGGGCGAGGCCGUUCGAUACGGCGGCGCUGGAGGGCAGCAGAGGGGCGUGGAAUUCCGGGUGGAGUGGUGAAAUGCGUAGAGAUCCGGAGGAACACCAGAGGCGAAGGCGGCGCCCUGGGCUGCACCUGACGCUGAACCGCGACAGCCAGGGGAGCGAACGGGAUUAGAAACCCUUGUAGUCC
rnacentral:rRNA from 1 species